rnacentral:tRNA from 1 species
GGACCCGUAGCUCAGUUUGGAUAGAGCGGCUGCCUUCUAAGCAGAAGGUCGAGGGUUCAAAUCCCUCCGGGUCCA